UACAGAGGUCUCAAGCGUUGUUCGGAUUCAUUGGGCGUAAAGGGUGCGUAGGUGGUUAGUUAAGUCGGAUGUGAAAUCCCGGGGCUCAACCUCGGAACUGCAUUCGAUACUGCUUGACUAGAGUACUGGAGAGGAGAUUGGAAUUUACGGUGUAGCAGUGAAAUGCGUAGAUAUCGUAAGGAAGACCAGCGGCGAAGGCGGAUCUCUGGACAGUUACUGACACUGAGGCACGAAGGCCAGGGGAGCAAACGGG
rnacentral:rRNA from 1 species